rnacentral:lncRNA from 1 species
AUGUGUCAGGGAAAUCAGGGAAAUGUUAGGGAAUUUCAUUUUCUAAAUUUUGUGGCAACCCUGUUUAAAGAAGUAUGAGCAACCUCAAUAGAGAAUUUGCAGGUAUCUGAAAUUUGAUGAAUUUCGUGUUCAAGUGGAAACUACUGAGUGAACACGAGGAUACCCUUGGUUCAUGAAUUGAACACUUCUUAUGGGAGAAGAUAUGACAAAUUGAUCUAUUCUGCUGAAAUACGAGUGUUUAAAUGGGAAAUGCUGCCAGCCAACGUUGCUAGGCGCUGCAUUUUCUCACUUUUUAAAUCUAUUUUUAUACUAUUUCCCAUAUCAGAAAAGAAAUUAUCAAAAAUACUGUGAAACCAGCUCUUUAAGCCUUUAAGAUGAAGCAAUAAAACAUUUGCAUGCAAAUUCUCCAUUGUGAUCAAUGUUUUUUCCCUUUUUUACGGGAGCUAAUGAACUAACUAAUCAACAAAUACGUAACUAAUUUGAGAAAUCUGAAAUUCCUUUUGAAUUCCCUCUCCGGUGUCUCUCAGAAAAAGUUCCGACAAGAUGAGCUGAAAGCACAUACCUUUGAGUUGAAAUUGUAAUUUAUAUAAAUUGGUUGAAUAGUUUUAAAAAAUGGGUGCAGAGAAAAUGAGGGUCGACGGGGCACAUCAUUUUCGAUUUUGAUCGUUCCUCGUGGUUUGUUCGAUUGACUUAAGUUUACGUAAAUGCAUUCAACCAAGCUUAUUGUUAGUUAGUCAAUCCUGGCUUUGUGACUAGUUGUCUUAUUUCCUUCAAUUUAUUAAUAUUUUUUUAUGUAUUAUUAUUUGCAGACCUCUGAAAGCUCAUCAUCUGAUUCUGGAUCGACCUUGUCAAAUCUAAUGCAAAUAAUUAGUCAGAAUGUAACUUUGGGAGACGCUGUACGCCUUUCCUGCGGAAUCCGAGUUUCAUUGGCCAAUGUUGGAAGGCAGCUGGAGGAUUUCUUGCGCAGGAGAUUCCCCUCCGUGAGGGAGCUCCAGCGAGGACAGUUGGUCAUCGACAUCAUUCGCAACUCCUAUGGAAUGCCUCAGCUACGCACUCCUGUACGUGAGCUUUAUGGAGAACUGAGAGCAACCGUAGGAUCAGUUUUGGUGAGCUAAUUUCCCACAGUUUUUCCAUCAAUGCACUGCCUGUCAUUGUGUCUUGAGUCCAUUAUUCCCCCCAACCCUUAGGCAUUUUUUUUUUUUAAACUUCUCCGUUAGAUUUGUCCAUAUCCAAUCGAAGUUCAUCCAACCUGAUAAUAAGUCAAGUCAGUCUUUUUAAAAAAUAUUGUUGGUUAAUGUGAUUCUUAUGGAGUCCUUUUUUAAUAAAUGUUAUUCACCAUUCAAUUUCUGUCUAUGUUUUGUAAAUAUUCAAGUAAUGACAGCGCGUUUUCUUUUUGAAUUCUGGGAAGGCGAUGUUCUAAAACAAAAUCACUGAUGUUCAAUGCGAAAAAAACGCAAGACCAAUUUAUAAAACACAGUCAGGAAUUGAACCACGCACCCUCUGAAAAAGGAAUCAGUGCUCUGCCACUUCGCCUUUUGAUGGAUAUGUGUGCCGAGUCACCAAACUGCAUGCAGUGCACAGUAGACUCCCCUCAAGCGCCUGGUUUUGAGAGAAGAACUAUAACUUUUAAACUUUACAUCUCAAGAACUUACAACUCUUCAUUCUUCUUUUGGCAUCGUAUAUAGUGUAUAUGAAAUACAGGAACUUUAUGUUGGCCUAUGCCCCAUGCCAAAUUCGAACCAGGUGUGAGGUAAACUACAAUAUCCCACAUUUGUAUAAUGGUUAGAAAAUACCCAUACCUUUUCUUCUUUUUCAAGCCUGGUUUCCUUUUUUACCAGACUUUUGCAGACAUGCGAGAAGGGGUUGACGCAGUAGCGGCUGUGAUGGAUGUUAUUGAAUCGCGUCUAUACGUAUUCCUGGGCGUCCUGUUUCUCAGUCGUAAGUGCUCUUCAUUAUUUUUUGAUUUCUGAUUUUCCUUCUUCUUGUACAAUUAUUAGUAAAGAAUUUUCAAUUUUAUUCAAUUUUGGGGUUUUAAUAUUUUCACUGCCAACUUUUUCCCGGGUACUUGUGCCUGCCAGGCUAGAAUAACUUGCAAAAAGAAAAUUUGAAAAUAAUGAAUUACUAUUAGUGGUGAUUGCUGUGAUGCAAGUGUUAUCUCAUGGAUGUGCCCUUAAGAAGCCUUUCUCUAGCUCAAAGAUAGUACGGCAGGUAGAGGAAGAGCUUUUAGCUUGGCAAUGUAAUAAAUAUCCGGCAUAGAUUAAUCCAACCACUACAAACUUUUUUGGUCCAUAGUACAUAGUAUCUUAAUAGGCAAUCACCAUGACAAAAUGUAUGUUUGUUCAAAAUCUUAAUUACGCCCAAGGGGCAAGAAUCCUAAAGAUGAAACCUAAUGAAAAAGUAGACAGUGAAUGAUCCUUAAAAAUUAAAUCAAGAUUUUGUUGUUUUAAGCACUAAGUCUGGAUUGUAAAAGUACGUAGUGCUCUAGACUAAUAUUGAAAAUAGUGGAACAAAUAAUGCAUGAAUGAAUAAAUCUUUUCGCCAAAA